rnacentral:rRNA from 1 species
UGACGCAGACCCGAAACCAAGUGACCUACCCAUGACCAGGUUGAAGGCGCGGUAAAACGCGCUGGAGGACCGAACCCACGUAAGUUGAAAAUUGCGGGGAUGAGUUGUGGGUAGCGGUGAAAUUCCAAACGAACUUGGAGAUAGCUGGUUCUCUCCGAAAUAGCUUUAGGGCUAGCCUCGCAAAGAGGAUGCUGGAGGUAGAGCUCUGUUUGGACUAGGGGCCCGUCAAGGGUUACUGAAUUCAGAUAAACUGCGAAUUCCAGACAUUUAUGUGCGGGAGUCAGACUGCGAGUGAUAAGAUCCGUAGUCGAAAGGGAAACAGCCCAGAUCACCAGUUAAGGUCCCAAAAUUCAUGCUAAGUGGAAAAGGAUGUGGAGUUGCGCAGACAACUAGGACGUUGGCUCAGAAGCAGCCAUCAUUCAAAGAGUGCGUAAUAGCUCACUAGUCGAGUGACGCCGCGCCGAAAAUUUACCGGGGCUAAGCAUGAUACCGAAACUGUGGAUGUGCAUUUAUGCACGUGGUAGGAGAGCGUUCUAGCGGCGGUGAAGCAUGACUGAGAGCAUGAUACCGAAACUGUGGAUGUGCGUUUAUGCACGUGGUAGGAGAGCGUUCUAGCGGCGGUGAAGCAUGACCGAGAGGACAUGUGGAGCUUCUAGAAGUGAGAAUGCCGGUAUGAGUAACGAAAGACAGGUGAGAAUCCUGUCCGCCGCAAGACUAAGGUUUCCUGGGGCAGGCUCGUCCGCCCAGGGUAAGUCGGGACCUAAGGCGAGGCCGAGAGGCGUAGUCGAUGGACAACAGGUUGAAAUUCCUGUACUGCACCGAAUCGUUAUGAGCGAUGGAGGGACGCAGGAGGCUAGCAGCGCGUGGUGCUGGAUACCACGUUCAAGCGUCAAGUCUGAGAGCGAGUCAAAUGCUUGCUCUCAUAAGGACAAGGCGUGAUGAGGAGCGAAAUUAAAGUAGCGAAGGCUGCGACGUCACACUGCCGAGAAAAGCUUCUAGCCAGAGACGGUGCACCCGUACCGCAAACCGACACAGGUAGUCGAGGAGAGUAUCCUCAGGUGAGCGAGAGAACUCUCGUUAAGGAACUCGGCAAAAUGGCCCCGUAACUUCGGGAGAAGGGGCGCUGGUCGCAAGAUCAGCCGCAGUGAAAAGGCCCAAGCAACUGUUUAUCAAAAACACAGGCAUCUGCAAAAUCGUAAGAUGAAGUAUAGGUGCUGACACCUGCCCGGUGCUGGAAGGUUAAGAGGAGAGCUUAGCGCAAGCGAAGGUUUGAAUUGAAGCCCCAGUAAACGGCGGCCGUAACUAUAACGGUCCUAAGGUAGCGAAAUUCCUUGUCGGGUAAGUUCCGACCUGCACGAAAGGUGUAAUGAUUUGGGCACUGUCUCAACGAGAGACUCGGUGAAAUUAUAAUACCCGUGAAGAUGCGGGUUACCCGCGACAGGACGGAAAGACCCCAUGGAGCUUUACUGCAGUUUAAUAUUGGGUAUCUGUCAAGCAUGUACAGGAUAGGUAGGAGCCGGAGAAGAUAGGACGCCAGUCUUAUCAGAGGCGCUGUUGGGAUACUACCCUUGCUUGACGGAUGCUCUAACUCAGGCCUGUGAUCCAGGCCGAGGACAGUGUUUGACGGGCAGUUUGACUGGGGCGGUCGCCUCCUAAAGUGUAACGGAGGCGCCCAAAGGUUCCCUCAGAAUGGUUGGAAAUCAUUCGCAGAGUGUAAAGGUAAAAGGGAGCUUGACUGCGAGAGAGACAACUCGAGCAGGUACGAAAGUAGGGCUUAGUGAUCUGGUGGUACCGUAUGGAAGGGCCAUCACUCAACGGAUAAAAGCUACCCUGGGGAUAACAGGCUUAUCUCCCCCAAGAGUUCACAUCGACGGGGAGGUUUGGCACCUCGAUGUCGGCUCGUCGCAUCCUGGGGCUGAAGUCGGUCCCAAGGGUUGGGCUGUUCGCCCAUUAAAGCGGCACGCGAGCUGGGUUCAGAACGUCGUGAGACAGUUCGGUCCCUAUCCGUCGUGGGCGUAGGAAAUUUGAGAGGAGCUGUCCUUAGUACGAGAGGACCGGGAUGGACGCACCGCUGGUGUACCAGUUGUCUUGCCAAAGGCAUCGCUGGGUAGCUAUGUGCGGACGGGAUAAGCGCUGAAAGCAUCUAAGUGCGAAGCCCCCCUCAAGAUGAGAUUUCCCAUUUCUUCAAGAAAGUAAGACACCUCAGAGACGAUGAGGUAGAUAGGCCGGGAGUGGAAGAGCCGUGAGGCUUGGAGCGGACCGGUACUAAUCAGUCGAGGACUUGACCAAAA